rnacentral:rRNA from 1 species
CGAGCGGCGGACGGGUGAGUAAUGUCUGGGAAACUGCCUGAUGGAGGGGGAUAACUACUGGAAACGGUAGCUAAUACCGCAUAACGUCGCAAGACCAAAGAGGGGGACCUUCGGGCCUCUUGCCAUCAGAUGUGCCCAGAUGGGAUUAGCUAGUAGGUGGGGUAACGGCUCACCUAGGCGACGAUCCCUAGCUGGUCUGAGAGGAUGACCAGCCACACUGGAACUGAGACACGGUCCAGACUCCUACGGGAGGCAGCAGUGGGGAAUAUUGCACAAUGGGCGCAAGCCUGAUGCAGCCAUGCCGCGUGUAUGAAGAAGGCCUUCGGGUUGUAAAGUACUUUCAGCGGGGAGGAAGGCG